rnacentral:rRNA from 1 species
CAGUAGCCGCGGGAAUACAGAGGGUGCGAGCGUUAAUCGGAUUUACUGGGCGUAAAGCGUGCGUAGGCGGCUUUUUAAGUCGGAUGUGAAAUCCCUGAGCUUAACUUAGGAAUUGCAUUCGAUACUGGGAAGCUAGAGUAUGGGAGAGGAUGGUAGAAUUCCAGGUGUAGCGGUGAAAUGCGUAGAGAUCUGGAGGAAUACCGAUGGCGAAGGCAGCCAUCUGGCCUAAUACUGACGCUGAGGUACGAAAGCAUGGGAGCAAACAGGAUUAGAUACCCGAGUAGUCCCUGUCUCUUAUACC